UGGAGCAUGUGUUUAAUUCGAAGCAACGCGAAGAACCUUACCAGGUCUUGACAUCCCCUGACAACCCAAGAGAUUGGGCGUUCCCCGUUCGGGGGACAGGGUGACAGGUGUGCAUGGUGUCGUCAGCUCGUGCCGUGAGGUGUUGGGUUAAGUCCCGCAACGAGCGCAACCCCUACUGCCAGUUACUAACAGGUGAAGCUGAGGACUCUGGCGGAACUGCCGGUGACAAACCGGAGGAAGGUGGGAUGACGUCAAGUCCUCAUGGCCCUUAUGUCCAGGGCUACACACGUGCUACAAUGGCCGGUACAGAGUGACGCGAAGCCGCGAGGUGGAGCAAAUCGCAGAAAGCCGGCCUUAGUUCGGAUUGGAGUCUGAAACUCGACUCCAUGAAGGUGGAAUCGCUAGUAAUCGCGCAUCAGCAUGGCGCGGUCGAAUACGUUCCCGGGCCUU
rnacentral:rRNA from 1 species